rnacentral:misc_RNA from 1 species
UCCAAUAUAAUCAAUAGAACGAAGCCCUCCUUGAUACUUUUCCUUGAGAAACCUCUCAAAUCUUUCUUGCUUUGCAGGAUCAUCUUUGAAAGGUUUUUCCACCGCAGGCAACCCACCAAAAUUUGUAAAUGUAUCUGAAAGAUUGAACUGAAGAUUAACAUCUGCAGAAACAACAGAUGAGCUGAAAUCUUUCAAGCUUCUUUCUAAAGGCCUC